GGGGACUUAGCUUAUUAGGAGAGUGCUUGCCUAGCAUGCAUGAGGCCCUGGGUUUAAUCCCCAGCACCA
rnacentral:tRNA from 1 species